rnacentral:rRNA from 1 species
AACGAACGCUGGCGGCAUGCCUAACACAUGCAAGUCGAACGAGACCUUCGGGUCUAGUGGCGCACGGGUGCGUAACGCGUGGGAACCUGCCCUUAGGUUCGGAAUAACUCCCCGAAAGGGGUGCUAAUACCGGAUAAUGUCUUCGGACCAAAGAUUUAUCGCCUUUGGAUGGGCCCGCGUUGGAUUAGCUAGUUGGUAGGGUAAAAGCCUAUCAAGGCGACGAUCCAUAGCUGGUCUGAGAGGAUGAUCAGCCACACUGGGACUGAGACACGGCCCAGACGAAGAGGGGAGGAGGGGGGGGGGAAGAGUGAGAGGGGGAGGCAGGCCUGAAGCAGGACGGGGGAGGGGGGGAGGAAUGUGGGGGUUUAGUAAGGGCCUGUUACGCGGGAUUAGACGGACAGGAGCGGAAGAAUAGCUUCCGGCGACUUCCGUGCCAGGAGCCGCGGGAAGAUGAGGAAGAGACCUCGUAUGAUA